UAUUAUUCUAAAAUAUAUUUUUCUUCCUGAAUUAGUAGUAGAUAUUUACUUAAAAGUUAAAAGAUUUGGCGGUAAUUUAAUCUUUUCAGAGGAACUUGUUUUUUAAUCGAUAACCCGCGAAAUAUCUUACUUAUCUUUGUAAAGUUUGUAUACCAUCAUUAUCAGGUAAUUUUUAAAGAGUAAAUUAUUAAAAAUAAAGGUUUUAUUUAAAUUAGAUCAUGGUGCAGCUAAUAGGUAAGUUAAAAUGAGUUACAAUAAAUUAUUUUAUACGGAUAAAUAAAAAAAUUUUUAUUUAGAAGGAGGAUUUGGUUGUAUUUAAAGUUUAAUAUGUUUAAAAGAUGAUAGCUCUAGAUUAUGUACAUAU
rnacentral:rRNA from 1 species